GCAGAGUAGGCGUAUGCGCGUUAAGUGCCGGCUGGACAGGGAGUUGCCAGCCAGACGAAAGCAAGUGCCGGAUGGGGGUACAUUUCCGGAACUUUCUGCGGUGCAUAGGCCGCAUCCCGCUGC
rnacentral:ncRNA from 1 species